rnacentral:rRNA from 1 species
CAUGUCUUUUUGAUAAUAAUUUAAAGUCCGACCUGCCCAAUGAUUGAAAAUUAAAUGGCCGCGAUAUUUUGAUCGUGCAAAGGUAGCAUAAUAAUUAGUUUUUUAAUUAAGAACUGGAAUGAAAGGUUAAACGAAAGAAAGACUGUCUCAAUUUAAAUUGAAUUAAAAUUUUAUUUUUAAGUAAAAAAGCUUAAAUAUCUUUAAAAGACGAGAAGACCCUAUAGAGUUUUAUAAUUAUAGGUUUAUUUUUUAUUUUAAGAAUUUAAUUUAAAAAUAUUUUUAUAAUUAUUUAAUUGGGGUGAUUAAAAAAUUUAAAUAACUUUUUUUAUUAUUAAAACAUUAAUUUAUGAAAAAAUGAUCCAUAAUUUAUGAUUAAAAGAUUAAAUUACCUUAGGGAUAACAGCGUAAUUUUUUUUGAGAGUUCUAAUCGAAAAAAAAGUUUGCGACC